UUUUAUGCCAUCAUAUGCUUCCCAAAUUUGGAGGACCAACAAUCUAGGUAACGCCUGAAUGUAAGGGAGCGGAUCCUCAACCAAUCGAGACCAACGAAGAUGAAAGGCGGUCAGGUUUGUAAGGGACCCGAAGGACAUGGAACAUUGAGGUAAGGAAUAUUUUUUGUCUAACUGCCCCAACAACAUCACUUUUCGCAGAGAUCGUGGUAGACGAAGAGCUCCCAAAUGCAGUAUUUCUUGCUCGUCUUUCGCCACAAUCUGUAAAAGGACAAGAUGGUUCAUGUUUGCAAUAGCCCGGCACAGGUCUGUACAGUGGCACAUUUGUACUUUGGUGAUACCGAAUGUCCGCAAGUUGAUCAGGGCUCCCACCUUCUGUACCAUCUUUGUGUUGGCUUCAAAAAACUGCAGAGUUUGUAUGUCCUUCAAAUGCCAUAUCCCUUUUGGUGUUGGAACGCCACCAAAUGCUGCCAGACUGCGGUACAUCUUAUCUGAAUUGAUAAAUACAAAUAGAUGCCUCAACUUUCUGAGCUUUGUUACUCCAUUUGGUAAACUUUUGAUUUUAGUGUCACAGGCGUCUAAUAUCUGUAAAUUUUGCAGCUUCCCAAUUGAUUUUGGUAGCUUCUCGAUUUUUGUUUCUCUUAGGCCGGCCUAGGAAACGCAGGUUGAAUAGGUUGCCAAUUUCACUUGGUACUUUAUCGAUCGCAGAACCUUGUAGAUCCAAAACGUAUAAAUAUACAACCAUACAUAUAACUAAACAUAUCCUUGUAUGCAUUUUAUGAAUCUGUUACUGCUGGUACUUCGCUGUAUAACUAAACAUAUCCUUGUGUACUAUCUCAUGAUAUGUUAUAUACUGCCAAAAUGCUAAUAGACGAAUUUUAAUAUUAGUAUUACCCAAUGAAAUCCGAGUACUUUUACAAUUGUACUUAGACUAGAAACCAUCUGCUUAGUUUGGUAAUAGAAGGUCUUCCAUUUGACACGUACUAUUAUAAAAGAGCUGCUUUUGUUAAAAUGGAUUUGGCAUGGCCUAACCUACAGUAGUAGGAGCCAACAUUGAACCACAUCUAUCUUCUACAGGAAAAGGCAUUAACUUUUUACUCUUUUCUUUGUGAUGGUAGGUCCAACACUAGUCCUUGACCUGCCCGAUGCGGCUCAUAGUGUGCCGUUUCUGCGAAGACAUGGUCCAAGCCGGGACCGAACCGCUUGAUGCCUGCGACCGCCUCAGAGGUCUCUGAAGGAGAUGGACAUCCAUGUGAUCAUGUGCAUCAGAAGAGCUGAUUUGCUGAAGCAUUUCAUGCUUGUCAAAAUCAUCAUAUGAAUCGAAUGCUCGGUGAUGGAUGCCCUUGAAAGACUUAUAAACUUUUGAGCUAACUCACCAAAGAUUUCUCUCUUGGGUACUUUGAAAAAUGGUACGUAGUGUGUUUUAUCUCUCUCUUGGUUCAGCGUGUUGUUCCUCAUUUUAUUUAUGUUUCGAUGCAUUACAUGGUGAAAAGAAUAAUAGAAAAAAAAUUGUGUUGGAACAGACUCGAAUGGAAUUUGAUAUUUCGACUUGUUAUAUAUUCUAAAAUUGUACUGUACUAUAUGAAUUGGUCUCAGGUUAUUGAUAUAGAAUUUCAGAAUUUUGUGUUCUUGAUUUUAACAUAAAAUAGUAUAGUGUGAUUUUUUUAAUUGAUAUCAGUUGGAAUGGAAUGAAAAUGUUUGCUCAUACUUUUGGUUUUGAGCAAUACUGUUGGCGUUAUUCGCAACCCCUCCUCUCGGGUUGAGCAUCCGGAAGUGAAUUCGGAUGCCUGCGAGACAAUCCGAAAUAUUUUGGAUGCUCGCAGGAAGAACCGAGCUGUCCGAAGAUUUAACAACUUGAGAACCCCUCCUCUCGAGUAGAGAGUCUAUUAGGGACGGACGCUUGACCGAAUGGUCCGAAUGUUUUCGGGCGUCUCACAUGUCUUUUCGGACUUAUGGAAAGUCUGGAAAAAUUGAUUUUCACUUCUUCCAAAGUUCUGAUUUGAUCCAAAUUGGCUCCAACUCAUUGCUAACUUAGUCUAAACUUUUUCAGAUCCAUUCUUAUCAUGUCUAGCAUGACUUAAAUUCUCAUUUUGCCAAUUUUGUUAAAGCUCGGUGCAUUUUACUGAAUUUUAGUAUAGCGCUAAUUUAUAUAAAAAAGACGGGAAAAACGUUAAAAGAGCACUUCUAUGGCCCUUUGUCGAGCAUUUUUUAGUUUCUAUGGCAUUUUUUACUAGGGAUCCUAAUAAUAAUAAUAAUUAGGCUUUAGCAUAUUUGGUCGGUUGUUUGGGCUCAACGAUUUAUUAGUGCUAGUGGCUUGGAUCGCUACAUUUGAUAUCAAAGCCGGUUUGAUACUCAUAAUAUAUACUUUUUCUCACCUUUGCUGCUAUCAAAUAUCAGAGUCACCACACCUGAAGAUCUCGUCUACUCGCAACGGAAUACUCCUCAACGGUGCAAACCUCCAAAUCUCCCAACCAAUCUCUCUCUCAGCCAGCUAGAGCCACAGCUCAAUUAGAGGAAGGAGGAAAAAGAAGAAAAGGAGGAGCUCUGCAGGGACGUAAAAGAAUAAAAUCACAGGAUCCGUGGAAUAUAUAUAUAUAUAUAUAGAGGUGACAAUAGCAGAAAGGCCUUUGAAACUCGGAAAAAUAAACCCUCAGUAGAAGACUUCACUUUUGGCGCCCGGAACCAUCUUUUGGGCGUCCGAAGUCCCGUAUCCGAGGUAAUUUGAGCGCUUCCUCCUGCAAUGGGCUGCCCGAACCCUAUGUAGCUGCUUGCGCCCAUUUUCGGGCUCCCGAAUCUGCAUACGGAACUCAGUAAAUUAAGGCACCUGCUUACCGCCUUGGUCACAUCACUCUAGCAUCCUCCGGUCUGCUACAGUAACAUUCGGGCAUCCAGAAUAGGCAUGAACAGUGACUCCCUUAAUCCGGAUCCAACUACGAUGGAUCCGGGUGUUCGGAACUGCACUCUGGAUCCCCCAACUCCUCACCUCGGUACUUCCGGGCGCUCUAAUCCACUUCCGGACGUUAGGAAAUGGUUAGAAACCCAGUUUCAGCUGAUUUAAUUUCUAGCCUAUUUUUCGCGUCCAUUUCGCACAAAAAUAGCUCUAACUCAGUCCAGCACUAUCCGAAAGUGCUGUCCACAAACUCGAUCACACUGUAAUCUUGCCAAUUUGCAAAGAUCCAGUACUCUACACUUUUCCUUUAAAAGAUACACACUUAUAUCACUUUGCUGAGAGAUACAUCUUUUAUACAUGAAAAGAUACAACUUACUUAAACGUUACAUUUUCAACUAAAAGACCUGAGCCUUCACUAAAAGAGCACACCUACUUAAAUGCACCCGUACACUAGACACCCUCUCAAAAGAGCAAGUUUUGAUUUCAAACAGGCAUACUUUUCCAACAAAUACACUCAUGGAAUCCUUUCCCAUACCCAUUUGCCAUCUUUCUUGAAUGAAUGAAUAACUUUUGGUAUGUGUCGAAUCUUCAUCUGGUCUUCUCGGCUUUCAUCUCCACCUUCUCCUCCCCAAAGCCUUGCAACAAGCUCCUCUGGUGGUUCUCCAAAAUGUAACACCUGAAGGGUGGUGAGGUACUCGAUGCCUUGAGGCAGCACCUUCAGUUUUGGGCAACCUGAGAGACUAAGUUCUUGUAGUCUUGGCAUCGCUUCUUUUUCUAUUUCUAUCUGAUUGAGCUGCGGGGCAUCCCCUAUUGACAGUUCCUUUAGAGUUGGAAAUGAUGUUGUUUUGAAGCACAACUUCAUGCCGUCAUACGCUUGCCAAAGUUGAAGGAUCAACAAUCUAGGUAAUGCUUGAAUGUAUGGAAGCGGAUCCCCAACCAAUCGAGACCAACGAAGUCGAAAGACAGUCAGGUUUGUAAGGGACCCAAAGAACAUGGAACAUUGAGGUAAGGAAUAUAUUUUGUCUAACUGCCCCAACAACAUCACUCUUCGGAGAGAUUGUGGCAGACGAAGAGCUCCCAAAUG
rnacentral:lncRNA from 1 species